rnacentral:misc_RNA from 1 species
CCCGUACGCGUGUGCGCCCAGCUAUCACUCCCUCCACACCAGCUGCAAGCGUGGCAGGGAAAAGAGCCUGCCUCAUCCCUCCCCUCCCACCCGUUGCUCGGCACUCGAAAGCGCGAAGGUCGCGACGUCCAAGGCAAGAGCACAUGUUAAAUGUGAACAUCGGACUUCUCGGUCAUGUUGAUAGUGGCAAGACGGCACUGGCCAAGGCGCUGUCGAGCACUGCCUCCACUGCUGCCUUUGAUAAGAGUCCGCAGAGUCAGUCACGUGGGAUUACGCUCGACCUCGGUUUCAGUGCCUGUGAGGUGUCCGUCGAAGACGGAAACGCGGACGCCACCCGAGUACUGCGGGAAGCCGAUUUGACCAAGGUGCAGUGCACGCUGGUCGAUUGCCCAGGACACGCGUCACUGAUUCGCACGGUGGUUGGUGGAGCGCAGAUAAUUGACGCGAUGGUGUUGGUCAUCGACGCAACCAAGGGCAUGCAAGUGCAGACGGCUGAGUGUCUGAUCCUGGGCGAGGUGCUGGCCAAGCCGCUCGUCGUUGUGCUGAACAAGAUGGACGCGAUUCAAGGCGCAUCGCCAGCAGCUAAAGAGGCGGCAUUGGCGGCCCUCAAGAGAAAACUGCAGCAGGUGUUUCGCCGCACGCGGUGGCCCACGGUGGCUAUUGUGGAGGUGGCGGCUGCUCCCCGCGAGGUGGCGGGCGGGAUCGGACACCCCUUGAACACGGAGGCGGUUUUGCCUCAGGUGUUGCGCGCGGUCGACCUCGCGGCCCUGAAGUCUGCAAAAGAGAGCGAGGCUGAGAGGCCAGCGCAGUUCUACAUGCUUGUGGAUCACUGCUUCGCCGUGCGGGGCCAGGGUACCGUAUUCACCGGGACUGUUGUCGCUGGCGUCGUUCGUGUUGGGGACACGGUGCUCGUGCCGGAGCUGCAGACCACGCGCAAGGUAAAAGGGCUGCAGGUGUUUCACAAACCGGUCGAGAUGGCGCAGAGCGGGGACCGGGUGGGGCUGUGCGUGGCUCAGUUUGACCCUACAUGGAUGGAGCGCGGCGUCCUUUGCAGCGCCGCAAGCAGCGGCCGAGCGCUGGUGAGCUCCUCGCAGCUGAUCGCGCGGGUGCAUCGUGUGCGCUACCACCCGCUGCCGUGCGACACACACACAAAGUUUCACAUUACGAUCGGCCACGCUACCGUGAUGGGGACCAUGAGGUACUUUGCACGACCGCCGCGCGCGAACGAGAGCCUCGACGUCCCCGGCACCGGAGCCAGCUUCGAUCCGUCCAUCGAGAGUACAUAUGUGGAAGAGCUGGACGAUGGGGUUGUGGCCAGCUACACCUCUACCGACACCACCGCAAGCGUCCCCGGACGACCUUUGCCCGUCGCCCCGGCAGAGCAGGACUACUACGCCGUGCUGCUGCUCGAGCGGCCUGUGCUGGCGGCCCCUGGUGUGUCAAUGAUCGCCAUGCGUCUAGAUGUUGAGCGGGAGAACUUCUGCCGCAUCGCGCUAGCUGGCACGGUGUGCCACGUGUUCAUGGAAGACGGCGCUGCUGCAAGGACGACAACAGCCGUCCCGGGCCGCUCAGACCACUCUGCGAGUCACGGCCAGGUACCGGCGUGGCGGCGGCUUCCAGUCGUGCGCUACCGGUAUCGCGCGCUGCGAGUGGACCGGGUACUGGACAGCCGGAGCUGCAUCGCCGACGGUGUCGUAUCGCUGCAGACUCCCGGCGCCGGGGGUAGCGGUAGCCGGCCUGCCGGGGCGUCUGCGGGUGCCAGACGAGAUAAGGGCUGUGUCAACGCCGAGGCGCGCCAGAGGGCGGAGCUCUUUACGGAGGUGCAAAAGUUCCUCCGACUCGUUGUCGUCUUUGAGCCCGAGGAUGCCGACGCGGCAAUGACAACUCCUCAACCAAGCAACCCUGGCGCUGUGAAGGGCAUUAUCGACUCCUCGUUUGGCAAAACAGGGAAGGUGAAGCUUGUCUUCGACGGCCCUGUCUUUGCCGAUCCCGCUGCGAACGCCGCCACAGCGCCGAUCGGCUCAUUCGUGUCGGCGGCGCGUAAGAAGCGCAAUAAGUCGACAAGGGGCCCUGGCUCAGAGGACGCCGGCUGCAGCGGAGGUGUAUUUCUCCGGCCAGGACGCAUUCUUCUUGUACUGAAGAAGUACCCCUUUGCCCUUCACUCAGGCCUCGAGCAGUGAGUGCGAACUAGGGGAGCUGGAGUCGCCCCCGGAUGGCGAUGCGGAUGUGCGUGGAGGCGAUGGUCGUAUUGUGUUUGUCAUCUGAAGCCUCUGACAAAAAAAAUUCUGUGCACCGAAAGGGCAAAACUGUAGGUGGUGUGUGUGUGUAUUUGGAUGGAGGUGGGGGUGGAAGGGAUGAUGAAGGGUGCGAAGAGUGCUGCGGACGGAUCAUCAGCUGCUUUACCUUCUCCCCCCGUGGGCAUACAGACAGGCGCACACGCAGUUGUCGGGGCGAAGAACCUGUGAGGGUCUCGAGCGCAGCUUGCACUUUAUCCGCAGCAUGAAUUCAUCAACACCCCCGAACAUCUACUGUGAGCCAGCGCUCUUGAAUAGAAGGUGGACAGCUGCAGCUCUUCCGACAGACGGAACUGCUCAUGUGGCCGCUAGAGAGAUGCUGUUCUCCGUACUUGAGAGAGCGUUUCUGGCAAGACAUAUGCCGCGUAGCCCUUUUUUUUGGUUGGGGAGGGAGGGGGCCGAACUCGGUCUUUACUGGGCCUAGCAUUGCCUCUUGUUCUUCCUUCCACCACCUCGUAUGCCCUCCAUCUCCCCCCCACACGCAAACAG